UCCUUUUUUAAAAAAAAAAAUUAUGUACCCUGCUCUUUGCCAUUCUCAGUGCUGGAUUCUUGUGUCGUCUUCGUCUCCGACACGGUGUAGGAGGAGAUCAAACCUUGGACAAUUUUCUUGAACUAUCGUGUCCAUAUGUUGUGUCGGCUGUAAAAGCUACCUUCCUGUGGAUCAUUCAGUGUAUAUAUCUCCUGGAUUGGUUUUUGGGCAUGGAAGGAAGCAAAAACCUAAUCAUGUCACUGGUCCAACGGGAGCUAAUGCUGAUGAAAGUAUCUGUUUUGAUUGCAACAUAUGUUUAGACACGGCACCCGAUCUGGUCUGGACACCCUUUUCUACUGGCCUUGCAUCUACCAGUGGUUGCAUGUCCAAAUGUAUUCUCUCUCCGAUGAUAACAUCUCCAUCAGUUCAUUGGUGGUGGAAGAGGCUUGUCUUCUUCCACAUUUGACCCAGGAAAACAUGAUCAUACCGGGUGAUCUGACUCACUUCAUCUUCAGCACCAUUCCCCUCGUUACCAUGUUGGCUUCACAGCUACGAAAAUCAACCGAUCUUUGCCAGUGCGGUGAUGAUGAGUUUUGGAAUGUUGGGCCAAAUUCCCUAUUCCAGCCGGAGGGUGAGAAAUCGAGAAAUGCAGCUUGAGAAGUUCCUUCAUCGGGUAUCAAUCUUUCUCCUCGCAGUUAUCCCGUCUUCUAGCUCUCGUCUUGUAUAGUUUGUGAUGCAGAUAUAAUGGUAAGUCACUAUGAUAUAGAAUUACAGACAAUUGUUUCGAUUAGGUGCAGGCCAUUAACCGUAUACAUACAUACAUACAUCUAUAUAUAUAUGCACACACUCAUUCGAGCAUGUAUCCCUGUAAGCUACACAUGCUCGAGAGGCUUAUGAACAUUUUAGACCCUUUGUCUUGUUUUUGUU